UGUCCCCAGGUCCAUUUACACCUCCCCCAUCAAGGCUCUGUCCAAUCAGAAGUUUCGGGAUUUCCGGGUCACCUUUGGGGACGUGGGGCUGCUGACGGGCGACGUCCAACUGCGACCCGAGGCCGCCUGCCUGGUCAUGACCACCGAGAUCCUGCGGUCGAUGCUGUACAACGGCUCCGACGCCAUCCGGGAUUUGGAGUGGGUGAUCUUCGACGAGGUGCACUACGUCAACGAUGAUGAGCGGGGUGUGGUGUGGGAGGAGGUGCUGAUCCUGCUGCCCGAGCACGUCAAGCUGGUUCUGCUCAGCGCCACCGUCCCCAACGCCCUCGAGUUCGCCCAG